ACCCGCACAAGCGGUGGAUGAUGUGGAUUAAUUCGAUGCAACGCGAAGAACCUUACUACCCUUGACAUGUCCGGAACUUGCCAGAGAUGGCUUGGUGCCCGAAAGGGAACCGGAACACAGGUGCUGCAUGGCUGUCGUCAGCUCGUGUCGUGAGAUGUUGGGUUAAGUCCCGCAACGAGCGCAACCCUUAUCAUUAGUUGCUACGCAAGGGCACUCUAAUGAGACUGCCGGUGACAAACCGGAGGAAGGUGGGGAUGACGUCAAGUCCUCAUGGCCCUUAUGGGUAGGGCUUCACACGUCAUACAAUGGUCGGUACAGAGGGUUGCUAAGCCGCGAGGUGGAGCCAAUCCCACAAAGCCGAUCGUAGUCCGGAUUGUUCUCUGCAACUCGAGAGCAUGAAGUCGGAAUCGCUAGUAAUCGCAGGUCAGCAUACUGCGGUGAAUACGUUCCCGGGUCUU
rnacentral:rRNA from 1 species